rnacentral:rRNA from 1 species
UAGGGAAUCUUCCACAAUGGACGCAAGUCUGAUGGAGCAACGCCGCGUGAGUGAAGAAGGCUUUCGGGUCGUAAAACUCUGUUAUUGAAGAAGAACGUGUGUGACAGUAACUGGUCAUGCAGUGACGGUAUUCAAUCAGAAAGUCACGGCUAACUACGUGCCAGCAGCCGCGGUAAUACGUAGGUGGCAAGCGUUGUCCGGAUUUAUUGGGCGUAAAGCGAGUGCAGGCGGUCUUUUAAGUCUGAUGUGAAAGCCUUC